GAAGAAGAAGGAGGAAGGUGUGGCUUUGAAAAAUGAGAAGAAACAUUUAGAAAAUUUAUCAGAAAAAGAAAAAAAAAAGAAAGGAGCGAAGAGACGAGCAAAAAUCUCUGCGUAUGAAGGUCAGGUUGAAAUUUAUGAAGUAAUUCGAAAAAAAAAGGAAGAAGAAGAGGAAGGAGAAGUAGCAGCAG